CUCCUGCAUGGGGGGACCAAAAAAAAAAAAAGCACUUUGUAUUAUGAAUUUAUAGGAUGUGUAUGUUUUGGCUGGUGAGUCGCUUGCUUAUGAAAAUAUGUGGCCAUGGAUGUAAACAUAACUGAAUAACCAGCAUCCUUAUGUGACCAUAUUGAGCAGAACAUUGCAACUUUGCAGCUGAAAUGCACACAUUGUCCAGACCAGAGUCCAAAAUGCAUCCCUGUCAUUUUUCUUGUAUCUCCAGAUGAUAAAUCUCCAACUCUUACCCUUUUCUUUGCUUAUUUGUGUCAGGAGUGGAGGACCCCCCCCCCCCCCCCCACCACCACACACACACACCCACGCUUAAAAAAAAUGUGUGUCGUCUCCCUCAAAACGGCACGAUGGACAACAAGCAGAGCCGAACGCGCCUGUUGUCUUCUUCCCGCUGCUCUUCAAAGCGCCGAACCUAAAAGACAAGAAUCACGCAUCAGUCCCAUUACUGCCAUCAGGGCGGACCGGCGGAGCAUUCAAAAGACGGCAUUAUAAAAUCAGCGGAUUUCUGCCACUGGCCUCCUUAAAGCCGCGAGAUAAUGAGCAAUCAUCAUAAAGCAAGAGGACGGAAAUACUCCAUUCUUCUCCCGCUGUCAACUUUUUGAUCAGCGCAUCCGCGUCGGAGCGCGUUGGCAGAAUUGGGCUUAAUAACAACCUGACAGAGUCGCCCCCCCCCUGCUCGCACAAAAGGGACGUGUCAUUUCAUCAACCUGCCGUGACCCCUGCCAGUGGCUAAACAGCGCCUGGAAAAUAAGGGGAAAGAAGCCCGAAGGUGUUUGUGCGACCAGUGACCGCUCGUUGGAAGCGUUCGGAACUUGACGAAGGUUUCCCGGCUUAAGCUGAAGAGAAAGAUUGUCAAAGCAGGAUGCCGUUGCCGCCAAGCUUCACUGUAGGAAACCGGAAUACCCGCAGAAAACCCACACAGGCACGGAGGAGGCCAUGGAAACUCCACACAGGGAGGCCGCAGCUGGGAUCCAACCCUUGCACCUCUGCACUGUGAGGCCGACACGCGAACAAGUCGACCGCCAAGCGUCGUGGGUGAGACAAUAAUACCCGAAUACCGUUUUGGACAAAAUGGCAGCAAAAGGAUCCAGAUGAAGUGGUUAUCGCAAUUGGAGUGUGAUUGAUUGACGGACAGCUCAUCAUGUUAUCAGGUGACAAGACAUUUUGUACCAUCGGGGGGUCUGUUGGACGUGGCCACCACCACCACUCCGGUCUUAAACAACGUCUGGAAAAGCUGCCUCAGGAUCACUGCAUCGGCGAUGUCCGUGACCUAAUGAUAUCAUCAAAGGUCAAGAAGAUCACAUAUUGAUUGACGUCGGUCCGAGCAAGUCAUCGACACUCCACGUUGAUUAGUGUCAUUCAGGAGGCAGGUUUCACGGGAGAUCUCCACGGCAACCGGCGAUAUGGGGUCAUAGGUGAACAUGGUGCCCAGCUUUCGUCUCGGCAGGCUCCGUUUCCUCCGGUGGAUCCCUUUGAAGCAGCGCACAGAAACUGUCAG